rnacentral:rRNA from 1 species
AGUGAACGCUGGCGGUAGGCCUAACACAUGCAAGUCGAACGGCAGCACAGUAAGAGCUUGCUCUUACGGGUGGCGAGUGGCGGACGGGUGAGGUAUACAUCGGAAUCUACUUUUUCGUGGGGGAUAACGUAGGGAAACUUACGCUAAUACCGCAUACGCCCUACGGGUGAAAGCAGGGGAUCUUCGGACCUUGCGCGAUUGAAUGAGCCGAUGUCGGAUUAGCUAGUUGGCGGGGUAAAGGCCCACCAAGGCGACGAUCCGUAGCUGGUCUGAGAGGAUGAUCAGCCACACUGGAACUGAGAAACGGUCCAGACUCCUACGGGAGGCAGCAGUGGGGAAUAUUGGACAAUGGGCGCAAGCCUGAUCCAGCCAUACCGCGUGGGUGAAGAAGGCCUUCGGGUUGUAAAGCCCUUUUGUUGGGAAAGAAAAGCAGCAGGUUAAUACCCCGCUGUUCUGACGGUACCCAAAGAAUAAGCACCGGCUAACUUCGUG